AUCCUGCACCCCUCCGGCAGACGCUCGGGUCCUCCAACCUCUGCCCUCCCAGCAACUAGCCACCAACCGGGUUCCUGACUUCCCAGGAGCCGAGGACUCGCAUCUUCUGGGUUUUUUUCUCUGCUAGGACCCCAGCCUUCCACUCUCUCCAGCGGAGCCCCAGCUCCUUCGCUACGGACUACAGCCCGCCUGAGUCCUGCGGACUCCCCCAGACCUCUGCCUCCUUGUGCAAGGGGCUGAUAGGAUCGGCUGGAUAGCACGAGUCUAGGACUGUGGACCCCUCUAGGGCACUCGGGCUUUGGGUACUAGGACACUUUUAAGACUGUGCUGGACCGAAGGUCGCGGUCCGGCCAGUGGCCCAGGGAGAGGGAAGGGCUCCGGGCGUGGCCUUAGCAGACCACCAGGCCGAACUGCUUGGGGCGAAGCCGUUGAGCUGGGGACUGGCGCCAGCCUUGGCUGGAGGGAGACUCCCGGGGCAUUAGCCAUAUGUAUAUUUUUUCCUCCUAGGGGUCCCCGAGACGGCCUUCGGGGAGAGGGGAGCAAUGUUUUGAGCACUUUGUGCCUAAAGUCACCUGGAGUUUUUCUGGCAACACCUCCUUUCUGGGGAGGCCGUGAGCUCGGAGGCGGGUAUACAAACCUAGCUCCUUCCCUGGGUAUAGACCUGAGACCUAAGCUCAGAAAGAGGCUUGCUAGUCAGACUUUUAGGGGAAUCUAGACAGGUGCGAGGGGUUGGCCGAGCUCGAUGCCCUCCCUCGAGCCCCUCUAGUGUUCUUUGCAGGGCACUAGACCCCCAGGGGAUAAUCCCAGAGGGGUUCCAGGUGGGUCCCGAGCCGGGGGAGGGCUGGGGUCCCCGCCGCCCCCAAGGAUGGGGGAGGGGCAGCAGGAUUGACAGUCCGUAAUUGGGUAACUGGAGGCGGCUUCUCCGGCCCGGCGGCCCCGCCACCGCGACGCCGGGCCCCUGACGUCACCCGAUUCGCCAGGAAAUGAACUUUUUAAUAAUCCAAGGAGGGAGGAAAGCCCUCGGUCCCCUCGGCUCGGGGGGCGCCCAGCCCGGCUCAGCUCUGCGGGCGCGCCCCCAUCACCCCCUCCCAGGUCCUCUGCGGACAGCUCUGAGGGGGCGCGCGCACUGCAGGGCCUCCUCCGGCCUCUGCGGCUGGCGUCGAUCUGCCUGUCCGAGGCUUUGGAACAGACCACGACUCUUCAUUAACGUGCAAAGCGAGAUCGCCGCGGAGUUUCCAGAGUGUUCGAUGUCCCUGGAACCUAGCAGGAGCAUCUAAAGGCCUCGCAGCACCGGCGAUAACCCUACUCUCGGCAACGGUGCCCCGGUGCCCCAUGCGGCCGCAUCCCAGGCCUCUGCUCUGCAGACUUCCAGGAGGAGAUCGCGGAGCGCAGAGGAAGCUGCUGCCCUUGGCCGUGUAGGCGCCUCGCCUGGCAGGGCGGCAGGGCGGGGGGGCCUCCCAGCACCAUCCCCGAAAUCAGAUUAUCGCAGCCCUUUCAGAGCGCGCACAACAAAUGCGCCCGCCAUCGAAUGCAGCAUUUACCACCGCAGAUCCGCGCGCCGAUGGGCAAGCAGAUAGCGUCCGCGGGGGGCUCGCUGGGCGGCGGGUGUGCGCCCCGGCUCUGCCCGGUGUGUUUGGAGGAACACGUGGGUAUGCCAGCGAGUGGACUCUGAGCAAGCAAGGAUGUGAGUGUGAGAGUAAGUGUGCCUAGACAAAGUGCACGUGUGAGCCCCUGAGCACACGCGUGGUGAGUGUUCGUGGCGAGUGCCAGGAAGUGGCCGCCGAGACGCUCGCCGGGAGUGGUGCUGCACGUGACCGCGUGGGGAAGCAUGCAGUGGAUGUGCUAGCCGUGUUUAUUGCGAGGGCCUACAGGUACUGUUUAGGGGUGCGGAACAGAGGGGUUUGCAGCCACUCAUGAAUGUUACGCGUAGCACGUGCAGGUCGCACUCCACAAGGUGUGUUUCCGAAGCUGCGCGGUGGGCGCAGUAGCCUGUGUUUGUGCCAGUGGCACAGGCUUUUGGAACCAGCACGGAUCUGUGGGACAGUGUGUAUCCAGGGCGACCAGGUGUGCAGAGAGACGCGCGAAGCAAAGGGCCAUUUUCGGGCCUUGCUUGAGCCUGUGUUGUGCAGACUCUGGGCUGGACAUGGGCUAUGAGGAAGAGACCUCUGUACGCCCGGUCCGGGGAGUGCUGGAGAGUGACACCGGGCCAGUAGCUGUUUGGGGGGGUUGAGAACGCCCAGGGGUCCUGGUCCUAGGGCCCCUCGGCCAAGGCCUUGCAGCUGGGGCGACAUAGCCCAGCCCACCGCCCCGAGGUCCCGGUCGUGAGUGACACGCGCCGCCACAAAGGCUGUAUUUUUCCAGGCCCGCGCCCCGCCCGCACGCGAUGGUCCCCAUGGCGACGCAGAUAGCGCGCGGCCAUUUUCCUAUCUCCCCGGAGUCUAUUAUACAGCGGGAUUAGCUCAUCUCCAGGCAGGUCAAACCCAAAGUCACACAACCUGCGGCGUGAGCUCCGCCUCCGGCCGCUCCUCCUCCGCAGCCGGAGUGGUGGUGGUGGGGGACACCCGCGGCGUGGCCCGUAUGCGGGAUCAGAGUGCCACCUGGCGGUCGCGCGUUCCGGGCGCGCUGCGUGAGAGGCUGCAAGUGCUCCAGGCUGUGGCUUUGUGUGGUCGCUUGGGCGACCCCUAGGGAAAAGCUGGCACACAGUAGGUACCCCCAAAACCAUUCACUGGAAGGAUGGGCAGGCUGAAAAGUCGACAGGAGCUGACUGCCAAAGGCCACCGCUUGUUGGCAACAAAAGCCCAUCCCACUGAAUGAAGGAUAAAAGCCGAUCUCCCUUGCAACCCUGGAAGCCUUGCUGACCCCAGGCCCGGUUUCCUUCCUCCAGGGACAGCUAGCUGCCUUUGGAUUCUCUGGACAGGAACCGUCUCUCCCUGUGUCUGCUGGUUCCUCCACCAGGAGAAGUCAGCCUGGGGUCAAAUGUCACCUAUCAGACAGCAGUUGCUCUCCUCUUCCCUACCCCUCCUCUGCUGGUUAGUCACAUAGGAUUUAGUGAAUUCUCUAAAAACGUUUGCGUGCUCAGGGCUCUGUGAUGUUCCGGACAAUGGCAAAGCAGUGGAAUUCUGACAACUGGUUGGGAUAAUCACAUUAGGACCUGGUUGAGGACCAGAGGGUUAAGCCUCAUGGGCCAGGAUGCACAGCUUUCUUUCCAUCAUUGAACCUAGGAUACCCACUAGCUGUGAGUUACAAGAGUUACUCAGUAACCACUCUGCCCCAGGGCCUGACCUUACCCACCUACCCAUCUGAAUGGGAGCUACAGGGUGCCCCACUCCUCUGCUCCUGCUGUGAAGGUGAACUUAUCCCAUCUUUCUCUCCUAGAGCAGGUCCUAAGUGAUGGUGGUGGUGUCUGAACCACAGGAGACCUCACUUUCAAUUUAGGUUCAUUAGGCAGAGCAGUCCUGGCCUUGGUCAUCCACUGCUGACUGUAAAGCUGGGACCGCAGGCUGCCAAAUGGAGCUCAGCAGACUCCAUCCUGGGAGCACUGGGGAGAGGUCUUGGCCAGGAGUACUUCAGGGUCUAGCAGCUCCCUCAGCACUGUCCUGGAAGAGGAGCUGAGUGGGGACCCCUCCACACCAUCCACACACCCUCCCCUCCCACACUAUUCACACACCCUCUCAGCUGGGCAGCCUUAGGCAAGUUGCUUUCCCACUCUGAGCCUCUGGUUCUGCCUCUACCGUUCUCCCUCCAGGAUCAUGGACUGUUGGCCUUGUGUGAGCUUGCCUUUAAAAAGCAUUUGGUGAGCCUGGCUUGUCAAGCUGGCAGACAAAGUUCCUGGCCUGUGCCAUGUUGAAAGUCCACCAGCACUCUGGAGUGGGGAAUUUCACCUAAAGAAUCUCACUUCUUGCUUUUUGUGAAACACUUGAAGAUUGGCCACUUUGUGCCUGAGUUCUUGCAUGGUGAGGGAAUGCUGGAGUUCUGCAGAACCCCCUCUGAGCACUUGGUACCAACCCAUGCCCAUCCCACUGAGCCUCUGAGUUCUGCCUUCCCCUCCAGCACCGGGGCCUUCCGGCGGCGUGUUUCUCCCUCUAGGCCAGCAAAGCACUUAGCAAUUAAUUAGUCGAUGCAUUGAUGCAAGCAACCUUCGAAGGAGGCACACGGCCACACUCUGAAGGUCUCUGGCUGUGCAUAUUGAACUUCACCCAACCUCCCAACAUGGUGAAGCGGCCAGACCUGACUCAUCACGCAGAUCAACAAAUCAUUGGGUUAGGGUAAGUAUUGGGAGGGGAUAUGUUUUCUAAUAUCCAGGCUUUCCUCUGAACAGCGGAAGCCGUGGAGUAAAGGAAGGGUGGAUGCAGCCACUGUGUGGUAAAGCAGUAGCCGCAGCAGGAGCCGUGACGAGGUCUGGGGGGAGGAGGUGCUUACAAGAACUCGGGAACACAAUAUGUAAAGAGGGUUGACUGGACCAACAAGAUGACGCUGGAUAACGGUUUGUCAGCAAGCCUGACUGAAUUCAACCCUAGGACCCGCACAGUUCAAGGAGAGAACCACCUUCUGCAAGUUGUCUUCUGGCCCUUACACCCUCCCUCAAUAAACAAGUGCAGUAAAGGUGUCAGCAAAGCAGGGGAAGCACAGUAGGAAAAUGUAGGGAGGGCAUAGAGAGAAGACUCACUGAAAAGCAAUGAGAUGUCUCUUAAAUAAAUCAAAACAUCCAAUUUC